rnacentral:tRNA from 1 species
AGGGGCUUGGCUCACUGUUUAGAGCCUAGGUCUCCUAACCGAAAGAUUGCGGGAUCGAAUCCCGCUAGAGGCUG